rnacentral:rRNA from 1 species
GGAGGGCGCAAGCGUUGUUCGGAAUCACUGGGCGUAAAGCGCGUGUAGGCGGCUUGGCAAGUCGGGUGUGAAAUCCCGGGGCCCAACCCCGGAACUGCACUCGAAACUGCCUCGCUAGAGUCCCGGAGAGGAAGGCGGAAUUCCCGGUGUAGAGGUGAAAUUCGUAGAUAUCGGGAGGAACACCAGCGGCGAAGGCGGCCUUCUGGACGGUGACUGACGCUGAGACGCGAAAGCGUGGGGAGCAAACAGGAUUAGAUACCCUGGGUAGUCCACGCCGUAAACGUUGGGUGCUAGGUGUCGCGGGUAUUGACCCCCUGCGGUGCCCGCCGCUAACGCAUUUAGCACCCCGCCUGGGGAGUACGGUCGCAAGGCUA